AUGAACCAAUCAGCGUGCGUCAUCAGACCGGAUCAGCCAAUCAGAGGCGGCCGUGUCCCGUGUGGGACAGGGAAGCUCCAUUCACAGCCGGGACCAUUUUGGGGCAGAAAACCCCAUUUUUGGGGCAAAAUCCGUAUUUUUGACCCCAAAAUUCCCAUUUUUGGACCCAAAUUCCCCUAUUUUGGGCCUAAAUCCCCAUUUUUUGCCCCAAAUCUCCCAUUUUUGACCCCAAAAUCCCCGUUUUUUGCCCCAAAUCUCCAUUUUAAACCCCCCAAAUCCCCAUUUUUUGCUCCCAAAAGUCCCUUUUUUGGGCCCAAAUCCUCAAUUGUAGGCCCCAAAUCUCCCAUUUUUGGCCCCAAAUCUCCAUUUUUAUCCCCCAAAAUCCCCAUUUCUGACCCCAAACCCCCCAUUUUUUGUCCCAAAAUCCCCAUUUUUGACCCCAAAUUGCCCAUUUUUAGGGCCUUUUUGCCCCAAAAAUGACACUUUUCCCUCUCCAAGCCGUUUUAUUGCAGCUCCCUUCAAUGCUUCUUACUGGCAGCCGCAACCUGCAAAAGAACCCAAAAAGACCCUAAAUGAGCCCAAAUGGACCCAAAAUGACCCUAAAUGAGCCCAAAAGGAAUCCAAAAUCCCAUAAUGACCCCAAAAAGACCCCAAAGGACCCCAAAAUAACCCCAAAAAAGCCCAAAAUGACGCCAAAAAGCCCCAAAUCUGCCCCCAAAAUAACCCUAAAGUCCCAAAAUGACCCCAAAGCCCCAAAAGACCCCAAAAUUGACCCCAAAUCCCCCAAAAUUGACCCAAAAUCCCCCAAAAUUGACCCAAAAUCCCCCAAAAUUGACCCAAAAUCCCCCAAAA
rnacentral:lncRNA from 1 species